CGGGGGAGGGCCGCUGCAGUUGGAGGCACGACCAGGUGCUGAUGCCAAUUGCUGAAGCCAUUUUCAAUGCGCUGGGCAACAAUAACAACCAAAGGAAACAGCAGAGCAAAUGGAACAUCGCCUUUGUCAGGGAUGGAGAGAAACCUCGUUCACGCCCCAAAGCGGGAGCCGGCUUCCUCACCUCAGCGUUGGACUGUCUCCUCAGGCCAAGUUCUACAGAUCUGGAUCUCAGGGAGGAAGCCAAUUAGUGAAAGUGCUCAAAGUACCAGGAGCUGGUAGAGCAGUGCCGACGAAGAAGCUGGAAGACACGCUGUGAGGCCAUCGAGGCGGCAUGAAUUGUACUUCCACGCGGUGAAGUUGUGAUUGUCUCGUGACCAGUCCAAAAUGAAGUUUGCCUUUUGCCGAAAAUCAGGGGAGACACCGUUCAGCCCCCAACAGACACAAAUGGGAUAGAAAGUGAAUGGAUGGACAUCAGUCCAUCACUGAGGGAGCGUAUUUCUGGGAGAAUGGGCGACUGAUGGUGCUAAAGGAAACACGGCUUUUCUGUUCAGAUCUCUUCUCUGAAGCAAACAGCAAGGAAGGCGAAGAGUCCCACUGGGGUGUCAGCCAGAGGUUACAUCAGGCAUUUAUUGUCAGCUGGAUGGCGGAUUUCAGGUGCCUAUAUUCUGUCUCCAACUCUCCAAUUUGGGUGGGUUUGGCUAUCUCUCUCUAUCUGCAGUUAUUGAGAUUGAAUGUGUCACGUGAAAAUAUAUUAUCUUUUCCAUGUAGUCUGGGAACCCAAAUGCCACUCAGGCGAAUCUGAGUUGGGAGGAGGAACAAACGGUCGACGUCUUGUCACUGAAGGGUGGACACAUUUUCUGGAUCCAGUUAUUGACUAUAGCAAGGAUUUUUAAUAUAUAAUGCUCAAUUUUGCCCCCCAAAAAUGGUCAAAAGGCAGUAAUGUACAUCAUGCAUCGGUAUAGGGGGAAAAUGAAAAAAUCAUCACAUUUUAUAAAUGUAUGAUCACAUGUCGAGGUUAUGAAAAAGCUAUGCAAUUUCAUUCCAAUGUGCCACCACCACCGAGAGGUUAUGAAAAACAUGUUGCCUGCACUUUCUUUCCAAUAUGACAGGGGUACGUACGAGGCUACAUAAAAUGUACAGUUGGGCUUAUAAAAGUUAUUUACCCAGACAAAAUUUAUGAAGUAUUGUUUUCUACAAAGCCGAUGAAUGACAGAACACGAACCUUCAAUUUAUUUCUGGUUAUGUUUUGUUCGAUGGUCAUGUUUUUUCUGAAAUCCUUGACAGUUUAAUUUGAAUCUCAUUAAAAUAAAAUGAAUUGUGUUUCUCUUGGGCCUUCAUGUCUUCAUGUUCAAGUGUACCUCUCUUACAAAUUCAGGUAGUAAUUAAUGUUUUGAU